rnacentral:lncRNA from 1 species
UGUGAUAAGAGAAGACAAAUCAAUUGCAACGUCUGUAUUUUUAUUGAGUACAAUUUUGGUCUUUAUACAUAUUCAGAAACUUUUGAUAUUCUAGGAAACAUAAUUGUAAAUACUAUUAACUUGUCUACCUGUCUCUUGACCUUCCAAAUCUCUCCAUUUAACUUAUUAAUAAAACUAUUAUUUAUAACAUUAAAGUUUUCAACAAAACUCCUCCUGUCACUUAAAUGUUUUUUUCCAUUCAUCAAUCCCUCUGCAAUUUUCUUGCCUCCUGGUCGAAGAUUUCUUUUGAUCAUGGUUUUGUGAAUAAUGUCUCCUGCUUGGUCCCUUCCUGCUACAUGCUUCAUUCGACAUUUCUUCUUCACGUGUUCUCGAUGAAUGGAAACGAACGUCAUGUGUUUGCUCCUUUCCAUGGUUUACUGGAUUUUUGCUACCAAUGCUGGACCCUGUUGUCACGUGUUAUUGUAGCAUCUGUCUGUUCUAUGUCCAAUUUUAUCAUCAAUCUUCUGAGCCAUAUUGCAUGAAAACGCACCACGAUGCUGCUACAUAUUCUGCUCACAUGUUCGAAAGUGUUACUCUGGUUGCUUUUUAAACAAGCCAAGUAAAUGCCAGUAUUCCCAUGAAAAACACAGUAUCCAGAAGUGCUUUUUCGAUCAUCUAAUGUCUCCGCACCAAUCACUGUCAAGUAACCACCCAAUUGUAUUUCCUAACUUCGGUAAAACAUCCCAAGUGCGACACUGUUCCUUUGGAAUGCCUCAGACUUCGCUUCAAUGCUUCCAAUGUGUGAAACUGGCUCCUCCCGAAUCGACUUACAAUGCCUACACUUAAUGAGCAAUCUGGUUCUUGUACAUGUGAAUAGCGAAGACUUCCUACCAAACUCCGAUAUUUGCCUGCUCGACCACGUCUCCCUCCAUCAAAUUUCGACAAAUUUUGUGUUCCUGGUUCCAUUGGCGUCGAAGCGGAUUCAGCUUUCCAUCUUAUAUUUUUUCAAGAUUUCUUGGCUAUUUUUCUUGUAGAUGAAGAUCCUGGUUCUUCCUUGUCGAACUUCCAGACCAAAAGAUCUCAUCAGGCCUAAAUCUGUCCAUCUCGAAUUACGGUGUCAAUUGGUGGCUUUGUAUGAUUCCUUCUAUAUCUGAAUCAUUAUAGCCAGAAAAUAGAUCACACUAGAGAGCAAACAAGUAAUAAUUCCAUUCCAUUUUCUUGUCACAAUAGAGCAUGUCGCGAGCAUUGUCAGAACCCGUCUCCUUGAAAUAUGUGUCGAUACGUGUGUUCCAUGCUCGCGUGCUUGCUUCAGCCCAUAUAGCGCUUUCUUCAAUUUCAGUACCUCUUCUCUUCUCCAGCUGCAUUAUCCGAGUGGUGUGUCGACAUAGACUUCUUCUCUAGUACACCAUUCAGAAAGCUGUUUUGACAUCCAUUGGAAAUUUGGCCAUUUGAAUUGAGCAGCUUGAGAUAUGAGUAAUCGAAUUGUCUCCAUUCUUGCAACAGGUGAAAUAUUCGUCAUAAAUCAACUUCCUGCUUUCUGUUUGUAUCCUUCGCAACAAGUCUCGCUUUGUAUCGUUCUAUUUCUCCUGAGCGUUCAUCUUUUUCUUGAAUACCCACUUUACACCAAUGGGUUGACUACUCUUUGGAAAUUCAACUAGCUCCAAGUGUUGUUGUGGAUAAUCGCCCUCAUCUCUUCGUCCAUGGUACUUUCCACUUUUGUCUCGUACUGUCUCAAAACUGAUGUUUUCAGCAUCUGCCAAAAGACAUACAAGGUGCCACUUCACUUGGCAUCAUACAGAUCUGCAACUUCGCAUUUGGUUGUGUAGGUUCAUCUUCAUGUCAGAAUCUCCAGUUUUGUCGAAAUGUUUGGUGGUACAUCGACAUAUGAUUUUCAACUCGACAACAGCUUCUGUCGAACUGUUCCAGUCCCACUUACUUGCUCGUUUAUGUCGAACGUCUCUACUCACUAUCACUUUCUUUCUUAUGGGAUCAAAUAGCUUGUACCUUUUGUUUUCUCAUCAUACCCAAUGAGUAGUAUUUUUGACUUUUGUCUUCAGUUUCGUUCUUCGUUGAUCUGGUACGUGUGCAUAAGCAACACUUCCAAAUACUUUGAGAUGAGAGACUGUUAGCUUCUGUCCGCUCCACGCUUCUUGUGGUGUUUGAUCUUCUAACUUCGAAUGUGGACAUCGAUUUGAACAAAUGGCACAUUGUACAACUUCUGCCCAAAAUUCCUUUGGCAUGUUCUUGCUUUUAAGCAUUGAACGAACCAUGUAAAGGACUGUUCGAUUCUUCCUUUCAGUCACCCCAUUUGUUGAGGUGAGUAUGCUGCAGUUAGAAAUCUCCUUAUACCCUGCUCUUCACAUACUUCAUAAAAGCUGUCGAAGUAUACUCACCACCUCUAUCAGAUCGAACUGCUUUAAUGUGUCUGUCGAUUUCCUCUCUACCCUUACUUUGAACCUUUGAACACUCGAAUGCUUCAGACUUUUCUUUCAAGAAAUAAACCCAUGUCUUCCGUGAGUAAUCGUCGAUAAAGGAAAUAAAGUACUUUUGCUACCUGAAGAUUCUGGCGUGAUUGGCCCACAUAUGUCGGUGUGAAUCAAAUCAAGGAUAUGCUUAGCUUGAUAUUCUGCCUUCUUUUGAAAUGAAGUUCUUGUUUGUUUGCUAAGCCACAAUUCUUCACAAACUUUCCUUCAUAAUCCAUAUCUGGUAGUCCAUGCACCAUGUUCUUUUUCGCCAACCUUCUUAAACCAGCAUGAUGUAGAUGACCAAAGCGUAGAUGCCAUAGUGACGCUUUGUCUUCGACACUUACUUGUAAACAUUUUCUCGAAUGUUUAUUAGAUUCAGUUUGUACAUUCGAUUUCUCUCAUUCGAUAACGAGCUCAGAUGUCCCAGUUUGUCCUUCAAAACAGUAUCCGUUCUUUCAUAAGUAUCGAAUAACCUUUUCUGUAAGUUGUCAAACUCAAGAUGUUGGUCUUAAGAUUUGGUACAUAAUAAACAUCUUGAAUUGAUCCAAUCAACCCAUCUUUCUGCAAGUAACGUAUCGUUCCUUGCCUUCGACCUUCACUUUCGAUGCAUCUCCGAAAGACACAUUUCCAUCUUCAAUCUUUCUCAUUUCUCUUAAACAAGUGUUUGUGACCACACAUAUGGUUAUUGCUCCUGAGUCAAGAUACCAACGUUGUCAUUUGUGUUGAUCUCAUUUUGAGCCAUCAAGAGAAAACCUUCAUUUGCUUCAGCUUCCAAAGUUAGUGGUUGUUUCUUCUACCUUCUUUUCGAUUCGAUAAUCUUUUGCGAGAUGUCCCACUUUAUCAAGUUAUAGCAUUUGAAUGAGUUGCAAUCCUUCGCAUAAUGACCAUACUUCCCACACUUGUAGCAUUCAAAGUUGGAAUGGUUCGACCUACCACCUCUUUGACCACGUCCUCUGCCACGCCAAUUUUGCUGGAUCGACUGUCCUCUCUCCGAAGUUGCUGCCUCUACCACUUCGAACAUUGUCACGUCCUCCACGACCACGUCCUCUUCCUCGAAAGUUUUGAGAAAAAGUACCUUUUCGUCUUUGAUUUGCUCCUUGGUUUGAUUUGCAUCCUCUACUCCUUCUUCCUUCUUUUUCAUCUUACGUUGUUCGUGUGCUUCGAGGGAACCAGCGAGCUCUUCGACUGCGAGCGCCGAAAGGUCCUUCGACUCUUCUAUUGCACACACAAUAUUCUCAAAUUUAUCUGUUAAAGAUCUCAAGAUCUUUUCGACAACUCGUGCAUCAGUUACUGUUUCACCAUUUCUAGUGAGUUGGUUCACCACCUUUUGUACACGCGUGAUGUAGUCAGAUAUAUUUUCUGACUCCUUCAUCUGCAUCCUCUCCAAUUCGCCACGAAGUGUUUGGAGUCGAACUUGCUUUACUCGAUCUGCUCCUUUGAACACUUUCUCCAGUGUGUCCCACGCUUCUUUUGACGUAGUCGAACCGGCAAUCUUUUCGAAGCCUGAUUCAUCAACAGCCCUAAACAGCAUGUAGAGUGCCGUUUUAUCCUUCGAUCGCGUCUCUUUCAACGCCUUGUUUUGAGCUGCCGUAUAUCCCUCAGUAUCUGUUGGUUCUUCAAACCCAUCUUUGGUUACCUCCCACGCGUCUAGAGAUCCGAGAAGAGCUUUCAUUUGGAUACUCCAGUUUUCGUAAUUCAACUUUGUUAGCCGUGGCAACGGCAUUUGAUUCAUCAUAUUUGCCAUUAGCUCUGAUGCCAAUUUGUGAUAAGAGAAGACAAAUCAAUUGCAACGUCUGUAUUUUUAUUGAGUACAAUUUUGGUCUUUAUGCAUAUUCAGAAACUUUUGAUAUUCUAGGAAACAUAAUUGUAAAUACUAUUAACUUGUCUACUGUCUCUUGACCUUCCAAAUCUCUCCAUUUAACUUAUUAAUAAAACCUAUUAAUUCUAACAUUAAAAAAACUUUUGAUAUUCUAGGAAACAUAAUUGUAAAUACUAUUAACUUGUCUACUGUCUCUUGACCUUCCAAAUCUCUCCAUUUAACUUAUUAAUAAAACCUAUUAAUUCUAACAU